rnacentral:rRNA from 1 species
GACGAACGCUGGCGGCGUGCUUAACACAUGCAAGUCGAACGGAAAGGCCCUGCUUUUGUGGGGUGCUCGAGUGGCGAACGGGUGAGUAACACGUGAGUAACCUGCCCUUGACUUUGGGAUAACUUCAGGAAACUGGGGCUAAUACCGGAUAGGAGCUCCUGCUGCAUGGUGGGGGUUGGAAAGUUUCGGCGGUUGGGGAUGGACGCGCGGCUUAUCAGCUUGUUGGUGGGGUAGUGGCUUACCAAGGCUUUGACGGGUAGCCGGCCUGAGAGGGUGACCGGCCACAUUGGGACUGAGAUACGGCCCAGACUCCUACGGGAGGCAGCAGUGGGGAAUAUUGCACAAUGGGCGGAAGCCUGAUGCAGCAACGCCGCGUGCGUGAUGACGGCCUUCGGGUUGUAAACCGCUUUCGCCUGUGACGAAGCGUUAGUGACGGUAAUGGGUAAAGAAGCACCGGCUAACUACGUG